rnacentral:tRNA from 1 species
AAUCCGAUAAAGGGGGCU